rnacentral:rRNA from 1 species
CGAACGCUGGCGGCGUGCUUAACACAUGCAAGUCGAACGGUGAAGCGCCUUCCUUUUUGGUGGGUGUGGAUGAGUGGCGAACGGGUGAGUAACACGUGAGUAACCUGCCCCCUUCUUCUGGAUAACCGCAUGAAAGUGUGGCUAAUACGGGAUAUUCUGGGUCUGUCGCAUGAUGGGUCUGGGAAAGAUAUUGUUUCGGUGGGGGAUGGGCUCGCGGCCUAUCAGCUUGUUGGUGGGGUGAUGGCCUACCAAGGCGGUGACGGGUAGCCGGCCUGAGAGGGUGGACGGUCACACUGGGACUGAGACACGGACCAGACUCCUACGGGAGGCAGCAGUGGGGAAUAUUGCACAAUGGGCGCAAGCCUGAUGCAGCGACGCCGCGUGAGGGAUGGAGGCCUUCGGGUUGUGAACCUCUUUCGCCAGUGAAGCAGGCCUGCCUCGUUUGUGGGUGGGUUGACGGUAGCUGGAUAAGAAGCGCCGGCUAACUACGUG